AUUUUUCUAGUAUAAACAAUACAGGUGAUUUCCACUUACCUAAUCUCGAUCUCAUCGAGGAAGAACA
rnacentral:tRNA from 1 species